ACCAACGACUGUGCCACGUUGAAUACACCAGUUCUCGUCCGAUCACUGAAGUUAAGCGAGCGUGGUCAGUACUCGGAUGGGUGACCUAUGGGAGAUCACGUGUAGUUGGUU
rnacentral:rRNA from 1 species